AACGAACGCUGGCGGCAUGCCUAACACAUGCAAGUCGAACGAGACCUUCGGGUCUAGUGGCGCACGGGUGCGUAACGCGUGGGAACCUGCCCUUAGGUUCGGAAUAACUCCCCGAAAGGGGUGCUAAUACCGGAUAAUGUCUUCGGACCAAAGAUUUAUCGCCCUUGGAUGGGCCGGCGUUGGAUUAGCUAGUUGGUAGGGUAAAAGCCUAUCAAGGCGUCGAUCCAUAGCUGGUCUGAGAGGAUGAUCAGCCACACUGGGAUUGAGACACGGCCCAGAAUCCUACGGGAAGCAGCAGUGGGGAAUAUUGGACAAUGGGCGAAAGGCUGAUCCAGCAAGGCCGCGUGAGUGAUGAAGGCCUUAGGGUUGUAAAGCUCUUUUACCCGGGAUGAUAAUGACAGUACCGAAAGAAUAAGCACCGGCUAACUCCGUG
rnacentral:rRNA from 1 species